GCCUGACAUCAUAAAGCAUCUCUGGAGGCCAUCGGGCCAUCGGGUCCCGUAACUGUGGGAGCACCAAAUGGAGGAAAACUGGGGUUCCCAGAAGGCAGAGCGUCCCAGAUACCCCAAACCAGUCCCAGCUCCACUCCUUGCUGUGUCACACUUCUCUGGACCUCACCCGCAGAAGGGAAGACAAAGUGCUCGACAGGUAGCUCUCAAGCGUUAGCGUGCAUAUGAAACACCUGGCACUUAGUAAAACACAGAUUCCCAGGCAGAAACACACA
rnacentral:lncRNA from 1 species